CAGGGAGCCACUGUUAUAGAGGCUGAAAAUUCUAUCAAAAACUGGCUCAAAUAUAGUUGUGACCGGAGUGGAGGGAGAAAAGAGAGAGCUGCUCAAAAAGAAAAACAGAAAUCAUUGCCUCACCCCAUCUCUUUGAGCAGCUCUGACAGUGAAUGAGAAUGCUACAAGAAGUCAGAACUGGGAGUACACUACAUACAUUCAACUCAUUAACACUAGAAGCGCCGCGCCGUUCUGACCCACUUAUACCUAGAAGCGCCGCGCCCCGGUCAUUUGACCGCUUUGACGACCUACUAGAAGCGCCGUGCUGGUGUGAACUACUUAAAGCGCGGCGAGGCGGUCAAAAGACCGUUGAGUCCUUAGACUGGGAGGCUGUUGCUUACACAAAAUGAUCGCUAGAUGGCGCUUCGUGCACGAAUCAAAUCGUUUGGUCAUAAAUUCAGUUUGCACUAAGCCAUGUAU